GGACCUGUCACGGCACGAGCCUAGCCCGAACCGAGGCGCUCCACCGCCGCUGGGCACGUAAAAUUCCAGUAAAAUUCCCCUCCAGGUUCCUCUCAAAGCUCCACGCUGCGAGUGUCCAGGGGUGAAUUUUGGAGAACGCGGAGAGAUUUCUUUCCCGUUCCGCAACCCCUCCUCAGCCGUGAGACUUGGGAUUAUGGUGUUUUUCGGGUUUUUUAUUCGGAUCUACGCCCUAUACCUGAAAAAUACAUUUGACAGCUGGAGAACGGUUCUACUUGGAUAGCCAGUUCAUUUUCUUGGUUUAGGGGAAAAGGAAACAAAAACCAAAAAAAGGCAAAAACGGAUAGAAUGGGACACCCAUAACGACGACGGCGGAGCAGAAGCUAAGAAGUGCUUCCAUGGAGGAGCUCGACCUCGACGCCUUCCUCCGAUUCCAUGGCGAUGACCUCUACUCCUCUAGCAGCGGCGACGAUGACGAGCAAUCGGCCGCCGCCCGCCGUCACACCAUCGACGAACUCCUCCAUUCUUCCUCCUCCUCCUCCUCGUCGUCUCCCCCGUCCCCCUCUCGGAUCCCUCACCUCGUCUCUGAUCCGCAACCCAAAGAGGAAAUCCCAAUUCCCCAAGAACACGACCAAAGAUCCGGCCGAGACGAAGAACAAGAAGAAGAGUCCACCAGCUUAAUCGUCAGCUGGAGCAGGAGAUCCCGAGAGGUCCCCUCCUCUGUUUCCCUUUCUUCUCUGGGUCUUCGGAGCUACCAUAACUCUACUGCUUCCUCCUCUUCUUCGUCGCGCUUCUUGCCUCCUCUCUUUGGCAGCGUCCGGCCGAACCCUAAGCCGGGGGCUGCCCUCGCGGCCGCUGUUGCCGCUUCCCGCUCCAUCCCGACGCCGCAUGCGGCAGCGAUCAAGUCUCGGAGAGCCGGUAGCGGAUCUCUUCAGAAGGUCCUCGAGGAACCAGCCGUGGAUCUGGAGGAGGUCGUCGGUUCCGGAGGAUUAGAUGGGUUGGAGCUCUCGGAGGCCACUGCGUCCAGUGGGAACCUAGGAGUGGAGGAUGAUGAUAGGGGACCGGUGGUUUCAGCAGUUUCGCGAUCUUCUACAGAGGCUGAAGUAGUGGCAGUUUCUGAAGAACUCCACAGUGAAGAAGUAUCACGAGGUGGUGGUGGAUCUAGUAUUGACGAAGAGAUUGAGACCACUGGGCAAUUAGAAGCAAGGGAAGAUGUGGUGAAUCCAGUUGAGCCUUUGGUCAUCAGUGUUGAAAAUGCCCAAACGGUGGAUGACAAUUUGCCUCCUACAUAUGAAGGUGGUUCUGUUGCUGAAAUUGUUGAGGGUGACAAAAAUGAAGUCGAUUUGGAAGUGCCCAAAUCCGAAAAAGAUGAUUUUGAUAAGAAUACUCCUGAUGGGGAAAUUAGUUCCAUGGGAAAUGAACCUCAGGUUGGAAGUGAGGUUGAUAAAGUAGUUGAAGAGAGGUUAGGUCAACUGGAGAACAGUAAGAAGGCCGAGAAGAAAGCGGAAAAGAAACUACGUGCUUCUAUGAAGCCACUGGAAUGGGCUGAAGAGCUUGAAAGGAGACAGGCAUCGUCAGGCCUGCACUGGGAGGAGGGGGCAGCUGCCCAGCCAAUGAGGCUUGAGGGCAUCCAAAGGGGACCUCCUGCUGUUGGAUAUUUGCAAAUUGACCUUGACAAUGUGAUCACUCGUGCCAUUUCAUCACACACAUUCAGGCACGACCAUGGCUCUGCUCAAGUCCUGGCAGUUCAUAUGAACUUUAUUGCCUUAGGCAUGUCAAAAGGAGCUGUUCUUAUUGUUCCCAGCAAAUAUUCUGCUUAUUGUGCUGACAAUAUGGAUACAAAGAUGUUGACAUUUGGUUUCCAUGGUGAGAAAGUUCAAACACCUGUAACUUCAAUGUGCUUCAACCAGCAAGGUGACCUACUUUUGGUAGGAUAUGGUGAUGGUCAUCUGACAGUUUGGGAUGUGCAAAAAGCAACAGCAGCAAAAGUAAUCACCGGGGAACAUACAGCUCCAGUAGUGCAUACAUUGUUUCUAGGGCAGGAUUCACAAGUUACACGCCAAUUUAAAGCUGUUACUGGAGAUUCUAAGGGACUUGUUUCAUUACAUACUUUCUCAGUUGUUCCUUUGCUCAAUCGUUUCUCUGUCAAGACUCAGUGUCUUCUUGAUGGUCAAAAAACUGGCACUGUGUUAUCGGCUUCUCCUCUUUUGAUGGAUGAGACUUAUGGAUUUGGCUACACAUCUGCCCAAGGGAACUCAGCAACCACUGGUGGUCUUGGUAGCAUGGUAGGAGGUGUUGUUGGUGGCGUAGUUGGAGGAGAGGCUGGAUGGAAGCUUUUCAAUGAAGGUUCUUCAGUGGUGGAAGAAGGUGUGGUCAUAUUUGUCACCCAUCAGAAUGCUCUGGUGGUUAGACUGAGUCCCAAUGUAGAAGUUUAUGAGAAAUUUCCCAGACCAGAUGGGGUACGAGAAGGAUCAAUGCCUUACACUGCAUGGAAAUCCACAACAUGUUUGCAUGAUUCAUCUCUUGAAAAACAUGCAGAAGCAUCCGAUAGGGUUUCAUGGCUUGCAAUUGCAUGGGAUCGGAGAGUCCAAGUGGCCAAGUUGGUCAAAUCAGAGAUGAAAAGAUACAAAGAAUGGAACCUUGAUAGUGCGGCAAUAGGUGUGGCAUGGUUAGAUGAUCAGAUGUUAGUGUUGCUUACCCUGAGAGGACAGCUUUGUUUGUUUGCCAAAGAUGGAAAUGAACUUCACCGAACCAGUUUCAUUGUAGAUGGUUUGGGAAUUGAUGAUAUGAUCACAUAUCACACCCACUUUUCUAACAUUUUUGGAAAUCCAGAAAAGGCUUAUCACAAUGCAGUAUCUGUUAGAGGGGCUACUAUAUAUAUACUUGGGCCGAUGCAUCUUAUAAUUUCUCGUCUUCUUCCUUGGAAGGAACGCAUUCAAGUGCUGCAGAGGGCAGGUGAUUGGAUGGGUGCAUUGGACAUGUCAAUGAGGCUCUACGAUGGCCAUGCACAUGGUGUUAUUGAUCUUCCAAGAACUGUUGAUUCUAUAAGGGAGGCCAUAAUGCCAUUUCUGGUAGAGUUACUGUUGUCAUAUGUGGAUGAAGUUUUCUCCUAUAUUUCAGUUGCUUUUUGCAACCAAACUGAGAAAGUGGGAUGGAUGGAAAGUCCAAAGAUCAGACACAGUUCCAUGCGCACAGAGGUAGAGGAGCAAUAUGCUCGUGUUGGUGGUGUUGCAGUAGAAUUUUGUGUUCAUAUCAAGAGGACCGACAUCCUGUUUGAUAGUAUCUUCUCCAAAUUUGUUGCUGUUCAGCAUGGAGGCACAUUCUUGGAGAUUUUGGAGCCGUAUAUAUUAAGGGACAUGCUUGGGUGUCUUCCUCCUGAGAUCAUGCAAGCCUUAGUAGAGCAUUAUAGUGGCAAAGGAUGGUUGCAACGGGUUGAACAAUGUGUUCUUCACAUGGACAUCUCUUCCUUGGAUUUCAAUCAGGUUGUCAGGUUAUGCCGUGAGCAUGGAUUGUAUGGUGCACUGAUAUAUCUUUUCAAUCGAGGUUUAGAUGACUACAAGACACCUUUAGAGGAGCUUUGUGCAGUUGUACAAAAUAGUCAGAGAAAGGAUGUUGCUGUUAUUGGGUACAAGAUGCUUGUCUAUCUGAAGUAUUGCUUUCAAGGUCUAGCAUUUCCCCCUGGACAUGGUACUCUUCCUCUUUCCCGAGUUCAUUCAGUUAGAAAAGAAUUGUUGCACUUUUUACUGGAGGAUUCCAGAUCUUCUACUUCUCAAGCAAUGAAAAGUUUGAAGUCAUAUUCUGGAAGGUGCUCAAACCUAUGUUAUCUUCUGUGGUUGGACACAGAAGCAACUCUAGAUGUUCUUAGAUGUUCUUUCACACAAAAGGAGCCCAAAAAAAUAGACAGUUCCUCGACUGAUUUGGCUGAAUCUAAUAUUGAACAUGGAAAAGAAAUUGAUUUUGAGAGCCAAGACUAUCAGAAUGUAAUGGUACAGAAUAUCACCAGCACCCUUAUAGAAGUUCUUGAUUUGGAAUCUGAUGUGGUGAGAACCUUUGUCAUGGAUGACAAUAUGGGUGUUUGGCCUUCUAAAAAGGACUUAGGUCAUAUACUUGAGUUCAUUGCAUUUAUUAUUUCUUGUAAGCAAGUGAAUAUUUCUGAAAGAGUGUUAAUGCAUAUUCUUGAAUAUUUGACAUCAUGCGGUCUGACACCAUAUGAUCCCAGCCUGAAAACUGUAGCUUCUCAGAAGGAGAAACAGGUACUCACACUUUUGAAGGUGGUUCCUCAGACUGACUGGAAGUAUGGUGAUGUGCUGCAUCUCUGCAUGAAGGCUAAUUUUUAUCAGGCAUGUGGCUUAAUACAUGCAAUCACGGGCCAGUAUAUUGCUGCUUUAGAUAGUUAUAUGAGGGACUUCAAUGAACCUGUCCAUGCUUUUGUUUUUAUAAACAAAAUGCUGGUACAAUUAAAGAAUGCUGAUGCUUCAUCUUUUCGAUCAUCAGUGAUUUCUCGAAUACCUGAGCUGGUCAAGCUGAGCAGGGAAUGCACCUUUUUUUUGGUCAUCGACCAAUUUAGUAGCGAGAGUAAGCAUAUCCUGUCGGAGCUUCAUUCUCAUCCGCACAGCCUGUUCCUUUUCCUAAAAACCGCUGUUGACGUCCACUUGUCUGGCAUUCUCAACUUUUCUGUGCCUGAAACUGUCUGGGUUUCGGAUAUUCCAUCUGGAAGAAUAAGAGAUACUCAUGAUGAACUUGAAGUUUACAUGGAAAGACUAUCAAACUUUCCAAAGCCUUUGCAACAUAAUGCAAUUUAUGUAACUGAUGAAUUGGCAGAACUGUAUUUAGAGCUCUUAUGCCAGUAUGAGCGCAACUCAGUUCUGAAGUUCCUUGAGACUUUUGACAGUUACAGGUUGGAGCAUUGUUUACGUCUUUGUCAAGAAUACGGGGUUACUGAUGCGGCUGCCUUUUUGCUAGAAAGAGUUGGUGAUGUUGGCAGUGCUUUAACACUUACCAUGACUGGGCUGAAAGAAAAAAUUGACUUUCUUGUUGCUGCUGUGGAACAUUCUUCUUCUGAGAUCAUGUCAAGUAAUAUUAAUGAGAUGACGCAGCUGCAUUAUGUUUUGCAAAUAAAUGAGGUUGUCUCUGUGCAUGAUGUAUUGCACACCGCUAUUGGCCUAUGCCAAAGAAAUACUCAACGUUUAGAUCCACAAGAAUCUGAAUCCCUUUGGUUUCGGUUGCUUGACUCAACUACAAAUUUCCGAUCCAGUUUUUCUGAACCAUUGAAGAGAUUCUAUGGCAACAAAGAGGUAUCUGAAGGACAAAGUUGUGUUGGCAGCUCACCUGCGAUUUCUGAUAUGGGGUACAAAAAGUGUACUGGUAUUUUGCGAAGAGUAUUUUCACAAUUUGUUGGGGAAAUCAUAGAAGGAAUGGCCGGAUUUGUACCCCUCCCUGUCAUCAUGGGCAAACUCCUUUCUGAUAAUGGGAAUCAAGAGUUUGGUGAUUUUAAAUUCACCAUUUUGAAAAUGUUGGGGACAUAUGGUUAUGAGAGAAGAAUACUGGACACAGCGAAAUCAUUAAUUGAGGAUGACACAUUUUAUACCUUGAGUCUGCUUAAGAAGGGGGCAUCUCAUGCAUACGCUCCACAGGAUUUUACUUGCUGUAUUUGUGGCUGCCCUCUUAUCAAGGACUCCUCAAGUUUGGGAAUCCGAGUAUUCAAUUGUGGUCACUCAACCCAUCUCCAUUGUGAAUCUGAGAACGAAUCACACAACAGUGAGUCCUCAGUUGCAUGCUCACUUUGUCUAACAAAGAAGAACGAGCAUGGACAAAGCAAAUCAGUUCUUGUGCAGAAUGGGUUGGUCAAAUAUUCUACAUCAGGUUCGCAACCAUCACAGGGGACUGUUCAACACCUGCAUGAACUGGAUAUUGCAGAGAAGAGUUAUGGGCUUCAACAGAUGUCUCGGUUCGAAAUAUUGAGUAACCUUCAGAAAGCUCAGCAAUUUCUUCAAGUAGAUACUCUACCUCAAUUGAGACUCUCACCUCCGGCUAUAUAUCAUGAAAAGGUCAGAAAAAAAGGAGCCAGUUCUGUGAUGGAAGAGAUGAGUGAUACUUCAAUCAAAAGUGAAAAGCCAAAUAAACGUUGGCAACUGAGGGAGCUAAGAUCUAAAGGAUCACCGAACCGGUUUCCCUUGAAGUCAAAUAUAUUUGGCACUGAGGAAAAUAAGGCACGCUAAUAUGAUAUGCAGCAUUGUCAGGAGUCAAUGAUUGUGCCCUAUCGUUAAAAGAACAAGUCAGUAAUAGCCAGGCAGUGGUGGUUCCACCACCUAGACAUACAGAUCUAAUUAUAAAUAUAAAAAAAUAAUGCUUUUAUAUUAAGUGGACAUUUAAGUGGUAUAAGAGUAAGAAGAAAGAAAAAUAACACACAUGGAUUGCAAACUCAAGAAGAGAUGAAGCAGACAUAAUAUACAUCUGGUACGUGUUUACAUAUAUGCAAUUCAGACCCCAUGAUUUGCAUUCUGAUCAAGCUUUUUCUGCUGUGCGGACAAUAUGCUUUCUUUCAGUAAGCUGCCCUUUGUCCAUUUGCAUGGAUGGAAUGCAUCUUGAGAAAUCAUUAUGGUUACUUUUGCCCUUCUGCAGUGGAGGCCUUUCCCAACAUUGUCGUCUGGUCAAUACCAUGAAGCUUUUCGAACUUCUGAUAUUAUGUAUCCAGCAAACAGAACGUCUAGUCUUUUGACGAUGACAAUUAAUAUAGGUGUACGUUGGGUUCAUUGCCUCACUGCCACAGAUUACGACUCAGUGGGGACUGCAAUCAGCCAUAAUAGGGCUGGCUUGAGGAAUGUAAUGAUCAAGGAACCUUAUGGCUUGGUAUAUUCUCUUCACUGCCCUUUCAAGUGGUGCUUAGGGCAUGUAGGCGCGAACCCAAAGUGAUUUUUGGACAUCAAUGAGAAGUGCUCUUGCAUAUUGUUAGAGUAAUUAAUUAAGAUCUCAUCAUAUUUAGUAUAACCAUAUUUGGUUCCAAUCAUAUUUAGUAUAGCCGUAUUUGGUUAUAACCAUAUAUUAAGAUCUCAUCAUAUUUAGUUUGUGUCCAAGUAUAUUGUAUCUAGUAUGUGUUCAAAUAUAUUGUAUGGAGUAGCCUAUAAUAAUUUUUUGAGAGGCUAAAAGAAAUGAUAUAACGAUUUUCUUUCUUCUCUAUAAUUCUUUAUAAUCAAAUAUGGUUAUACUAAAUAUGAUGAUAUUUUAAUUAA